rnacentral:rRNA from 1 species
GAUGAACGCUGGCGGCGUGCCUAAUACAUGCAAGUCGAGCGAACGGACGAGAAGCUUGCUUCUCUGAUGUUAGCGGCGGACGGGUGAGUAACACGUGGAUAACCUACCUAUAAGACUGGGAUAACUUCGGGAAACCGUAGCUAAUACCGGAUAAUAUUUUGAACCGCAUGGUUCAAAAGUGAAAGACGGUCUUGCUGUCACUUAUAGAUGGAUCCGCGCUGCAUUAGCUAGUUGGUAAGGUAACGGCUUACCAAGGCAACGAUGCAUAGCCGACCUGAGAGGGUGAUCGGCCACACUGGAACUGAGACACGGUCCAGACUCCUACGGGAGGCAGCAGUAGGGAAUCUUCCGCAAAGGGCGAAAGCCUGACGGAGCAACGCCGCGUGAGUAAUGAAGGUCUUCGGAUCGUAAAACUCUGUUAUUAGGGAAGAACAUAUGUGUAAGUAACUGUGCACAUCUUGACGGUACCUAAUCAGAAAGCCACGGCUAACUACGUG